rnacentral:lncRNA from 1 species
AUAAGAUAUAACACAUCAGGUCCAUAGGUUAGUUGAGGUUCCCUUGUGACUCUGUGGUCCCUGUUGGGUAUGGCGGUUUAUCUUGUAGAGUCAAGAUGUCCUACCAGGCAGUUGUCUCUUUCCUCACUCUUACAGAGAUGAGUGGACACUGGGCACACAUACACUCAAUAUACAGUACAGUACAGUACAGUACAGUACAGUACAGUACAGUACGUGUGAUUUUGAGUUUUGUACAAUAAAUCAGUAUUUUUAAUAUCACAGGUGUAUGUUAUGCCCUCUGUUAUCUUCACUAUUACAGUUCUCAUUAUCUUGACCAAUAAAGUUUUGCAUACCAAUAUCUGCCUUUUGUUAUUAAGAUUUUAUUGAACUGGUAUAACAUGAUGUAAGGAGUUAACAUGUCUGUUAACUAGGCCAGUACAGUGUUACCAACCACAUGUAUUAGGUUGUAUAAAGUGCUUACUGUGAUCAUUAUCACUGACAGAUCAGGGAUGGGGUCACUUAUGAAGAGAAUUGGAAUUGAUGUUUUAUCAAGGUAAUAAAAUGUGUUUAUUAAAGAGGUCAUCGAAUUGGUGUUUUUUUUUUCAAAGUUUGUUCAACAUCUCUAAUGUGUGAAUCCAGUUUCAUAGUUGAAUGUUUUGAAGUAACAAUGUAUAGUCCCCUUCAAUAUUGCAUUUAUAGGGGGCUCGUCAGGGUUUGUGCUGUGUGGCAGUCUUGUGUUUAUUUUUCAUUCGACAGAAGGAAACUCGCGAUAGUAAACCUACAAUGGAAUCAAAGUAAAACAAUGUUAAACAAAUAUCUCAACGUAAUGAUUUGUUGAAUGUUUAUUUGACGAGCCCCUGUAAACGCGCUAAUGACUGGAACUACAUCGGUUGAUGUGGGAACCCAGUAUGACGUGUUUAAUAUCUUGCCGACUAAAAUCGGACUAAUAUCGGUCAACUUACCAAACAUGAAAAAUAUUACAAAAUGACUUGACAUAAAAACUCGCGUCAAAAUACUGUUGGCAAAUGUCAGUUAGGUUGAAACUUGAAUGUCUCUAAAGUGAGGAGGGGCAGCUGGCCGCUAGCGACAGCCUAACAAGACGUACGAUCAUACAAAUACAAUAAUUGAGCUCUGUGUACGAUGUAGGUACCAAAAUGUACUCGGACUAUCCUUAUGCUUGAAAUGUCUAUGAUUAAUCUGGGAAUAUCUUCCGAACACUGUAUUUCAAGUACUUUUCACCGUAGACUUAAGACUCCUUCACAAGUCCAAUUUCUGUCUGUAGGACAGUGUUGAAUUAAUUUUUAUUUAUGUCGGCAAUUGAUUUGAAAUGAGGAAACAGAAUUGACGUCACCCCUCUGUACAGAUGUGAUACCAUUUACCAGUGAGUUAUAUAUGUUAGGCUGAGUACAAUUAACAUGUUCUCUGUUGGGACACAGUGAGUUACAGCAGUGAGUGUGCUUGUCAUUGAGAGGAUGUUACAAAACAGCCGAGGACCCGUGGGUGAACUAUUAUUUAGUCUAGACCCGGAAGCUACCACAAGUCCUCGCAGCGAAGAAGGUGAACUUUCCAGAGAUCUUUUAUACAAACGAACCCCUGUCCUUUGAUGCUUCUCUAAAUGUGUUCAUGCCGAAUGAUAUUGUUAACGAUAGAACACUACCCAGGCACGGGACUUGCUUAGAACUCGAUAUUUACAGCAGCAGAUGCAGGGAUGUUUGGGUCGCUUCUCGGUAGACAGAUGCUUUUAGUAACAAGAUAUUUUUAACUCGCAGGUCGCUAUGUUUAACAGGACCAGAUUGACCACGUAGCUGUCGUUAAGAUAUUUAUAACCCAGCAACACCUCACAGUGAACGCACCGAUAACACCUUUCCCCAGUGUGUGUCACCCAAGGAGAAGAAACUGCUUCACGAACCUACUCGACCCCAGUGAGCACCGAUCAGAACCAGUUUCCCAUCCGACUAUGAGACCGAGGUAUCGAGGCAAGCGUGUCUGCCUUAUAAGCUCAGUCUCUUUCCGGCCAACGGUGAUCCUUUUCUGCCGGGGUGUGGACGAAGGAUUAUAUUAAGGACUACUGCUGGUGGUGUUGUGAUGGUUUGCUGGUUGUGGACUACGGCGGUAAUCCCUGGUUCCUUGUGGUUGGCCAUCGCAGUCUGGACAUGCUCACUGAACUGCCAUUUCUAUCAGGUUUUUAUGUUGUUGUAUAUUAUAGUAUGUGUAUUUAAUGUUUAAAGUAAGAAUAAUCAGGUAAUAUUGAUAAUUGUACAUUUGUUUUUCUUGUUAUGCAAUGUACCCAAUUAACUAUAUUAAUCAAUCGUUAAUAAAAUAAAUUUCAUUAAAUGAC